CGCCUCUUUAUCAAAAACAUCGCCUCCUGCAAAGAUAUUUAGUAUAGGAGGUCCAGCCUGCCCAGUGACUACGGGUUCAACGGCCGCGGUAUUUUGACCGUGCAAAGGUAGCGCAAUCACUUGUCUUUUAAAUAGAGACCUGUAUGAAUGGCUAAACGAGGGCUUAACUGUCUCCCCCUUCAAGUCAGUGAAAUUGAUCUAUCCGUGCAGAAGCGGGUAUAAUUAUACAAGACGAGAAGACCCUUUGGAGCUUAAGGUACAAAAUUCAACCACGUUAAACAACUAAAUAAAAAGCAAGAACUUAGUGGGCCAUGAAAUUUUACCUUCGGUUGGGGCGACCGCGGAGGAAAAAUUAGCCUCCGAGUGGAAUGGGCCAAACCCCUAAAACCAAGAGAAACAUCUCUAAGCCGCAGAACAUCUGACCAUUAAUGAUCCGGCCCAACAGCCGAUCAACGAACCAAGUUACCCUAGGGAUAACAGCGCAAUCCUCUCCCAGAGUCCAUAUCGACGAGGGGGUUUACGACCUCGAUGUUGGAUCAGGACAUCCUAAUGGUGCAGCCGCUAUUAAGGGUUCGUUUGUUCAACGAUUAAAGUCCUACGUGAUCUGAGUUCAGACCGG
rnacentral:rRNA from 1 species